UACAGAGGGUGCAAGCGUUGUUCGGAAUUAUUGGGCGUAAAGGGCGCGUAGGCGGUGCCACAAGUCACCUGUGAAAUCUCCGGGCUUAACUCGGAGCCUGCAGGCGAAACUGUGGUGCUGGAGUAUGGGAGAGGUGCGUGGAAUUCUCGGUGUAGAGGUGAAAUUCGUAGAUAUCGAGAGGAACACCGGUGGCGAAAGGCGGCCUUCUGGACAGUGACU
rnacentral:rRNA from 1 species